GGUGCGCGCGGCGCCUCAACUCCUCUCCCGGGGCCACUUCCCUCCGCGUGCACAGGGGAGGACACCCCUCGCUCAUCCGUGUGCACCUCUGGGGACGCGUCCGCAGCCGCAGCCGCCCCUGACCGAAAGUGCGCACUUCUCGCCUUAAACACGGCAGCACGGCAUGUUUCCCAGCCCUUCCCUGCCUCUCCUCUCUUCUUAUUCCAGGAUUCUGGGGCGCCAGACAGGUCCGAAGUGCCUAGAACAGUGUUCUGUAUGUGGGAGAUAUUCAAGACACACUUCCUGAAUGAAAAAAUGAAUGAAUGGCUCUCAAGUCAAGCUGGCUGGGUUCACAGUCUGUCCCUGCCAUCAACUAGUGAUGGGGUUUGUCAGAGGCUUAAAUUGGAUGACCCUUGGAAAGCUCUCUGGGCAGGGCCCUGACCUUGCUGGCUUUUCCCAUGUACAAGUGAGUGUGAGCCUGGGGAGGUCCGAGGAGGACGCCACAGAGAGCCUGGGAUCCCUCUGACUCCUUCGGGACGCCCAGCUCCACCGUCCUCCUCAGCUCUGUGCUCCCUGAAUCGCUGCUGCUUCCACAGGAUUCCAGAUGCUUCCCAGGCCUUGCCUCCAGCAUGACAGAUGCGUUUCAGGGGCAGCAGCUGCACUUGUCUGAGCCCCCUUUGCAGAUGCAGCCCCGGGCACACUUGGCACAGCCCGGGGGGCAGCAAGGACAGCAGCCUGGAAGGGUCAGAAG